rnacentral:rRNA from 1 species
CAUGCAAGUCGAACGGCAGCAUGAUCUAGCUUGCUAGAUUGAUGGCGAGUGGCGAACGGGUGAGUAAUACAUCGGAACGUGCCCUGUAGUGGGGGAUAACUAGUCGAAAGAUUAGCUAAUACCGCAUACGACCUGAGGGUGAAAGUGGGGGACCGCAAGGCCUCAUGCUAUAGGAGCGCCCGAUGUCUGAUUAGCUAGUUGGUGAGGUAAAGGCUCACCAAGGCGACGAUCAGUAGCUGGUCUGAGAGGACGAUCAGCCACACUGGGACUGAGACACGGCCCAGACUCCUACGGGAGGCAGCAGUGGGGAAUUUUGGACAAUGGGGGCAACCCUGAUCCAGCAAUGCCGCGUGUGUGAAGAAGGCCUUCGGGUUGUAAAGCACUUUUGUCCGGAAAGAAAUCGCACUUACUAAUAUUAGGUGUGGAUGACGGUACCGGAAGAAUAAGGACCGGCUAACUACGUGCCAGCAGCCGCGGUAAUACGUAGGGUCCAAGCGUUAAUCGGAAUUACUGGGCGUAAAGCGUGCGCAGGCGGUUGUGCAAGACCGAUGUGAAAUCCCCGGGCUUAACCUAGGAAUUGCAUUGGUGACUGCACGGCUAGAGUGUGUCAGAGGGGGGUAGAAUUCCACGUGUAGCAGUGAAAUGCGUAGAGAUGUGGAGGAAUACCGAUGGCGAAGGCAGCCCCCUGGGAUAACACUGACGCUCAUGCACGAAAGCGUGGGGAGCAAACAGGAUUAGAUACCCUGGUAGUCCACGCCCUAAACGAUGUCAACUAGUUGUUGGGGAUUCAUUUCCUUAGUAACGUAGCUAACGCGUGAAGUUGACCGCCUGGGGAGUACGGUCGCAAGAUUAAAACUCAAAGGAAUU